AGUGAAUAGAUACCCCGGUAGUCCCAGCCGUAAACGAUGCUCGCUAGGUGUCAGGCAUGGCGCGACCGUGUCUGGUGCCGCAGGGAGGCCGUGAAGCGAGCCACCUGGGAAGUACGGCCGCAAGGCUGAAACUUAAAGGAAUUGGCGGGGGAGCACAACAACGGGUGGAGCCUGCGGUUUAAUUGGACUCAACGCCGGACAACUCACCGGGGGCGACAGCAAUAUGUAGGCCAAGCUGAAGACUUUGCCUGAAUCGCUGAGAGGAGGUGCAUGGCCGUCGCCAGUUCGUACUGUGAAGCAUCCUGUUAAGUCAGGCAACGAGCGAGACCCGUGCCCACUGUUACCAGCAUGUCCUUUGGGAUGAUGGGUACUCUGUGGGGACCGCCGGUGUCAAAUCGGAGGAAGGUGCGGGCCACGGUAGGUCAGUAUGCCCCGGAAUCUCCCGGGCUACACGCGGGCUACAAUGAAUGGGACAAUGGGUCCCUUCCUGAAAACGGGUUGGUAAUCUCACAAACCCAUCCUUAGUUCGGAUUGAGGGCUGUAAC
rnacentral:rRNA from 1 species